CCGAGAAGCGCCGUCUUUGGAUGUGCGGUGGCAGAGAGCACGCGUGGAAGGAUGCUGACACUGACCCAGCACAAGAGGACUAAACGAAGGGCUAAAGAAGACUGAUGAGGACAACGCACUGUUUCCUGUAUUUGGGGAACUUUACAUCUCAGCUGGGAGAUGAUCUUGGGCAAUGGGACACAGGACGGCAAGUUUCCAUGAGAGGACAGGAGUCCCUGCUGAGAAGGGCAUUGGAGAGGGGCUGUGAAGAGAAUCAGAUGAGCUCAUAGAUGAGAAAACUAACUUGAAAGUUAAAAAGAUCUUUCCACAACUCCUCUGCCUGAGCUGGCCCUGAAAUCUCUGAAAGCACAGUGUUCAUUUCCUGUCCGGGACCAGUUCUGUGGCCCUCCUGAGCUCCUCUUAAAAAGCAAAUGACAGUGCAACCAGGGGUUGGAAGGAGCAGCCCCACUUCAGCCCAGGAAGUGGAUGCUGUCCCGGAGGGUGCGGACUUUUCCUUCAUUGACCAUCCCGUGAAGAUCCUGUGGAGCUGGGCUUUUCUGGAGAGGCAUUUGAGCUGAGGCCCACCCCGUCGGGCUGUAUUUAUUCUUUCCUGCAG